UGGGGGGUUGUUGAUACCAUGUGCUUAGUGUCGAGUCAGGGUUUGGAAGCAUUUUUCUCAGUGUUCUUGCUCUCCCAUAAGGUAAGCAGUCCCUGCAUGCCUGAGCCUUAAAAAAGAUCUUUCUCUAUGUUCUUAUCCCUUCCAUACUGUUGUAAUGCAAUUACUUUUUAUCCUGUGUUUGGCUUAGGAUGGAGCAUAGGAGUAGUGUUUCUGUUUGCUUGGUACAACAUUGGUUUUGGGCAAUUCCUCUGUGCUUAGGCCUCAUUGGUGGAUCUCUUAAUUUCCCUGACCCUCUUUCUCAACCUGGGGCAAACAUACUUUGCUUUAUGUCUAUGGUGGCUCUUGGUCAGGAUAAUUUUUCUUCUCUACCCCAACUGUUGCUUUGUGCCCAUGCAAGAUCCUGAGCUCAGUAAGUUUUACUACACUUCCCCAAAUGCAGUGCAUCUUUGUCUAGGUGCUAGUAGCAGGAAGGUUUGCUGAGACUCCCCCGAGAACUUAAAACUUUGUUUCAUAUGAGAAAGGUUACAGGAAAGUGAAAAGUUUUUGAUGUCUGUCUUCUAGUAGAAGUCAAUCACUACCUGCAUACCUUUGAUACUAUGGGACUAUAUCUCUCCAGACUCCUUAUCCUCUCCAGCCUUUCUCAGAAGAAUCCAGUAGAGUUAUUUUCCCUGAGCACAUUGAAGACUAUUCCAUUGUCUUGUGCUUCCAACACAGAUAUUUGGAUAAUUGCCUCCUUUUUGACUUGCUGAGUCUUCUGGCCUUCAAUUUACUCCUGUGCUGGAUGCUUCCUGCCAUUGUAUAUCACAUUCGAAGUUCUUCGGCUUUUGGACUCUUGGACUUACACCAGUAGUUUGCCAGGGGCUUUUGGGCCUCUGGCCACAGACUUAAGUCUGCACUGUCGGCUUCCCUACUUCUGAGGUUUUGGGACUCUGACUGAUCCACCACUGGCUUCCUUGCUGUUAAACUUGUAGACAACCUGUCAUUGGACUUUACCUUGUGAUUGUGUGAGUCAAUUAUCCUUAAUAAACAC
rnacentral:lncRNA from 1 species